rfam:Ralstonia solanacearum GMI1000 chromosome complete sequence
GCCGUCGAAACAGCGAUGGCCGGGUGUGGAAACCCGAACAAAGUGAGGCGGAUGCCCGCCGUUAGGCGGUUUUUUU